rnacentral:misc_RNA from 1 species
GAAAAGAACUUUGAAAAGAGAGUUAAACAGUACGUGAAAUUGUUGAAAGGGAAACGAUUGAAGCCAGUCGUACCGACGGAAAAUCAACUUCUCGGGUGCUUAUCAUGGGUGACGUUGAGCCUCACGGUCUUCGUCAUUUGUGUUUAUUGGUGCCUUUGUGGUGUACUUUUUCGUAUGGUUAGGUUAACAUCGAUUUUGAUCGUCAUAAAAUGAUCGGAGGAAUGUAGCUUCGAUUUAGAUCGAAGUGUUAUAGCCUUUGGUAGAUGUGACGAUUGUGAUCGAGGAUUGCAACGAAUACCC